AUGCUACUAUUUCAGAAGAUGAUGCCAUGAUCAUGAAUGCACUAGAGCAAUCUGCAGGGAAUGUUUUAUGGUGAUACUUGCAUCUGUGAAGCAUUUGUCCUCUAAAAAGAAAGCAUGUACUUUAAAGGUUAAAUUCUCGUGCCCUGUCCAAUGUACAGAAUAUCCUCAAAAACCUACGGGUAAUAACCUUUAUAUCUUCUACUGUGAGCAUGAUGGAGGUUGACAUUGUGAAGUUUAUGGAAAUACGUGGAAGGUGAAAAGUAAUUUACUCUAAAAUAAGGCAUUCAGGAAGCAAUUACCUUUUCAAAUACUAUUAAUAGGAAGCAAGUUGAAAAUGAGCAUGGGAUCAACAUCACACAUGGAAUAUAUUUGUGAAGAGACAGACAGAAUUAUGUCAUACCCAGAGGGGAAAAUAAUCAGAUAUCAACCCUGCAUUUGCUGCAUUAAUCAUAUUUUUGUGACUAAGAGAAAUAAGAAUAGAGCUGGUUAUUAGACUCAUGAUGACCUUGUUCCCAGUCUCCAAUUUUGGUGUGGCAAAUAUGUUCAUCUGUCUGCACAUUGGGUUAUUGGUAAAGUAAGGAUAAUCAUGCAUAAUACUUCCUUAUUGGCUCAGAGCUUUAGAAGGUGAUUUCACAUUUUCUUGUGUUACUUGAAAAAUUGCGUACUAUUCAGGUGCUAAUGGCUCUCCUUGGCAAAGAAAACUAAGACAUACUCUCUUAUAAUUUCAAGAGAAUUUUUAGUGUAUAAUUACAUUAAUAUCUAAAGUAAAUUGCAUCUCAUUUUUACAUCAUAGGAAUUAGGAUUAUUAGCAUUAAGUAAAAUUCAAAAUGUAGGAAUUAAGGAUAUUAUUACUGGGGAAAAAUAACAGCAUGAAAUUUUAAAGGAAGGAUUUGGUUUUAGUUAAGAUAAUGUUACUUCAUACCUGGUGAAAGAUAAUUCAGUAAAUAUUUUUGAAUAUAAAUUAGCUUCUAAUUGAAAAUGGUAGUGAUUUUAAGUGUUGAAGUUUACUAGAAGCCUUUGGGAGAAAUUUGAUGUAUUGAAGAAGUUAAAAUGUAUACAGUUUUACAACCUAUAAGAUGUAUUGCUAAUAUGAUAAAGAAAAAUCUAUGUGACUAUUUUGAACCUUAAAAUAUUUAUAUAAAAAUGGUAAUAAGUGAAAAGAAAAGAAUUAUUUCUGGAGAUUAAACUGAACACUUUAAGGUAUAGAACUGUGUUUUGUGUUUUCUAUGUAUCAGUCUUCAGUAUUGUGCAGGCAACUCAAUUUUAAUGUAUAAAAUAGUCUGGGUGAUGAUACUCAUGCACAACAACCUAUCAGUUGGAUUAGAGUUAAAAGCACUGCACUAAUGUUAUUAAUUUAUAUUUGUUCAUUUAGAAUCAUGUAAAUAUGCUCACAGCUUUUCUGAUAAAACUCUAGUUAAAAAGCCAUAGAUAGUGAGGAAGACAAGGCUUCCAAUUGGAGAAUGUCAAUAUUCUAAAUAUCUCAUUGCCAACGAUUUUACGUGUCUGUCUAUGUCAACUUAGAGAGAAUAGAAUAGAACCUACAUUUCAAGUAAGGUAAGGUAGCACUGACAGCCAUUUCUCCUUUUUUUGUUGCCAGAACAUUAGUCCUGCUUAGGAUACCAUAUACUAAAGAUUAUAUUUCAAAAUUUAUAUACCAGAGACAUAAUUUUGCUCAGCUAAACCUAUGAUGGCAAUUUCAGUCAUUAUGCCAAUGACUGAAAGAUGAGGAAAAAUCUACAGGGGGAUUUUGGAAAAGACUAUAUUAUUCUCACUGAUAACAAGUAAAAGAUGAGGAAAAACAGAAAGUCUUCUCUUUGUUGGAUUUUUUUUUACACUUGAAAUUUUGGCAGUCAUUUUGGGAACAUAAG
rnacentral:lncRNA from 1 species